rnacentral:rRNA from 1 species
UGGGGAGUUUUGGACAAUGGGCGAAAGCCUGAUCCAGCAAUGCCGCGUGUGUGAAGAAGGCCUUCGGGUUGUAAAGCACUUUUGUCCGGAAAGAAAUCCUUGGCUCUAAUACAGUCGGGGGAUGACGGUACCGGAAGAAUAAGCACCGGCUAACUACGUGCCAGCAGCCGCGGUAAUACGUAGGGUGCAAGCGUUAAUCGGAAUUACUGGGCGUAAAGCGUGCGCAGGCGGUUUGCUAAGACCGAUGUGAAAUCCCCGGGCUCAACCUGGGAACUGCAUUGGUGACUGGCAGGCUAGAGUAUGGCAGAGGGGGGUAGAAUUCCACGUGUAGCAGUGAAAUGCGUAGAGAUGUGGAGGAAUACCGAUGGCGAAGGCAGCCCCCUGGGCCAAUACUGACGCUCAUGCACGAAAGCGUGGGGAGCAAAACAGGAUUAGAUACCCUGGUAGUCCACGCCCUAAACGAUGUCAACUAGUUGUUGGGGAUUCAUUUCCUUAGUAACGUAGCUAACGCGUGAAGUUGACCGCCUGGGGAGUACGGUCGCAAGAUUAAAACUCAAAGGAAUUGACGGGGUCAUAGCUGUUUCCU